rnacentral:rRNA from 1 species
GACGAACGCUGGCGGCGUGCUUAACACAUGCAAGUCGAACGAAGAGCGAUGGAAGCUUGCUUCUAUCAAUCUUAGUGGCGAACGGGUGAGUAACGCGUAAUCAACCUGCCCUUCAGAGGGGGACAACAGUUGGAAACGACUGCUAAUACCGCAUACGAUCUAACCUCGGCAUCGAGGAUGGAUGAAAGGUGGCCUCUAUGUAUAAGCUAUCACUGAAGGAGGGGAUUGCGUCUGAUUAGCUAGUUGGAGGGGUAACGGCCCACCAAGGCGAUGAUCAGUAGCCAGUCUGAGAGGAUGAACGGCCACAUUGGGACUGAGACACGGCCCAGACUUCCUACGGGAGGCAGCAGUGGGGAAUCUUCCGCAAUGGACGAAAGUCUGACGGAGCAACGCCGCGUGAGUGUG